GCAGGGCAGGGCAGGAGGUGGGUCACGCUGCCUACCUGGGAGGAGACUCCUGGAGAGGCUCCUGUUCAGGAUGGGUCGCACAGUAAAGAAGCUGCUCUCUGCAUGUCUUAGGUGUUUAACAGCUUCUGCUAAAUGGACAACAAAAAUACACAAAAACAAUAAAGAAACAAAUCAACUAAAGCAAAAGGGAAUGAAAAACAAAGCUAUGGAAAAAGAAAGAUUGUCCCUAUCAAGAAGCAACUCAAAAGAGAAAACGGAGAAGAAGACAGAAGCCCCAAAGAACCGGCAGGAGAAGACAAUGGAAGCAGAAGCCACAGAAAAGAGACACACACACCUUGCACGCGUGGGCCUCCCUGUAAUGAGGACACGGGGUUUCCACUUAAGCUUCAUUCCCCCUUGAGGUGCCAGGUAAAAGGACCUCCCUGUAAACAGGGAUCAAGGUCCACCCCUUCCCAGCAAAAAGGCUUGAGGUGUCCGUUAGGUAGCUAAGGCUGAGGAACCCCCCUUUAAGAAGGGUAGCGGUCUCUCUGUGGCUUUCAGCUCUUUAGGAGCUAGGCUUUAAAAUGCCCCGUGCCAUUGACCUCUCCCUGUAAGAAGGGUUCAGGUCUCCCCUUUUUAGCUUCUCCUGGGCCGCUGGCACUUGCUGGGCAAAGAGACGGCCCUCUCCUGAGGGAAUGGAGGUCUCUCGUUUUCAGCGCUUUAGCCUCUGCUCCGUUGUAAUGCCCCUGGCUUGAGGACCACCCUGUAAGGAGGGUUUGGGCCUCCUUUGCCAUGCUACUUUUGCCACAGGUCACUUGGACAUGCCAGGCAAAAUGACCGCCCUGUAAGCAGGAUGUAAGGUCUUCUCCCUCUCCCUCUUAAGCCAGUGGGCCCUUUCCGUACCUGUGGCUGAGGGACCCCCCUUUAAGAAGGGUAGCGGUCUCUCUGUGGCUUUCAGCUCUUUAGGAGCUAAGCUUUAAAAUGCCCCGUACCAUUGACCUCUCCCUGUCAGAAGGGUUCAGGUGUCCCCUUUUUAGCUUCUCCUGGGCCGCUGGCACUUGCUGGGCAAAGAGACCACCCUCUCCUGAGGGAAUGGAGGUCUCUCCCUUUCUGUACUUCGGGGUUUGGCCCAGGCCAAAGGACCACCCUGUAAGGAGGGUUUGGGUCUCCUUUGCCCUGCUGCUUUCGCUACAGGUCACUUGGACAUGCCAGGCAAAAUGACCGCCCUGUAAGCAGGGUGUAAGGUCUGCUCCCUCUCCCUCUUAAGCCAGUGGGGCCUUUCGGUGCCUGUGGCUGAGGGACCCCCCUUUAAGAAGGGUAGCGGUCUUUGUGUGGCAUUCAGCUCGUUAGCAGCUAGGCUUUAAAAUUCCCUGUGCCGUUGACCUCUCCCUGUCAGAAGGGUUCAGGUGUCCCCUUUUUAGCUUCUCUUGGGCCGCUGGCACUUGCAGGGCAAAGAGACCACCCUCUCCUGAGGGGAUGGAGGUCUCUCCCUUUCUGCACUUCAGGGUUUGGCCCAGGCUAAAGGACCAUCCUGUAAGGAGGGUUUGGGUCUCCUUUGCCAUGCUGCAUUCGCCACAGGUCACUUGGACAUGCCAGGCAAAAUGACCGCCCUAUAAGCAGGGUGUAAGGUCUUCUCUCUCUCCCUCUGAAGUCAGUGGGGCCUUUCCGUGCCUGUGGCUGAGGGAUCCCGCUUUAAGAAGGGUUGAGCGUCUCUUUUCUCUUUCUCCUCGUAAACUGCUCUAGAAAUCAUUUCGACUUGGCUUUUUUGACAUUUGCAGUCAAAUCGUAUUUGUGACCUCUUGAAUUCAAGCCGGGGUCCCAUGGAACAUGGUGUGGCGAAGGGGCGGCUGUAAGGGGAUGGUGGAGGCCGUGAGAAAUUGGACGCUUUUUUGAAAAAAGCCAAGAAACCCCCCAAAACAAUCCAAAUCUUUCCAGGUCUGGAAAUGAACUGGUGAGGUGGGGGGCUCCUUUCAGCUCCUCACUUCCAUGCAAUCCUUCCUCAUUUCCUCUUGCCCUGCCCAACUGCCGCUGCCCCCCAACCUCAGCUUGGACCCUUUCUUUUAUUCUGCGCAGGAAACAUACUGCUGGCUGUGGUAGUGUAAUUGUCUUGAUUGGGAAUGGUCCGUUCGUGGUGUCCCAAUUCCAGGCCUUUGCUCUCUUUGCUGGUAGACUGAGGCUAUAUUUUUGGACUGUCUUUGAAGGGAUUGAAAGAGCUGUGCUUCAUGACAGCUGUUGGUGAUCUGGUGGUAUAGCUACAGGUGUCGUGGUCUUGCAUCUUGCACGUGGGUGCUCCUAACCCUACUAACAGGACUGCGUAAGAAGUAAGGGAUGUCUGUUUUGGAAAAGGGUAGGGGGUUCACAGUUGUAAUGUUCUUGGUGGGGUAGACAGGUAAGUCGGGAAGGGUGUUGGUGAGGGAUGGAGGAUUCCUUGGUCAUGGGAGGCUCCCUUACCUGUUCAUUUCCAGACAUUGUCACCUUUGUGACUCCUUUCCCCUUGUUUCAAGGAAGUAGGAUUUUUGUGAAGGAAGGGUGACCGCCCUGUGAUCGGGGUUCGGGUCGCUUUCCUUUCCCCCUCUUUGCAUUGGCCCUCUUAAUGCCAAAGUCCAAAGUGAGCUCCCUGUAACUAGGGUGUGCGUCUUUCCCAAGCUUACUCGCCCAUUUGAAAGCUAGUUAUAGAAACCAGCCUCUUUGGAGAGUUAGGGGUUUGUCCUUCUAGCUGUCCUGUCGCCAUGCCCUACUCACACGCACAACCAAGUCCAAACCGAGCGAACUCUGCAUCCAGCUGGCCCCGACGACUUCUGCUGCUGCUGCUGCAAGGUUUCCUGCUGUAUGCCACAGCAACUCAAAAGAGAAAACGGAGAAGAAGACAGAAGCCCCAAAGAACCGGCAGGAGAAGACAAUGGAAGCAGAAGCCACAGAAAAGAGACACACACCUUGCACGCGUGGGCCUCCCUGUAAUGAGGACACGGGGUUUCCACUUAAGCUUCAUUCCCCCUUGAGGUGCCAGGUAAAAGGACCUCCCUGUAAACAGGGAUCAAGGUCCACCCCUUCCCAGCAAAAAGGCUUGAGGUGUCCGUUAGGUAGCUAAGGCUGAGGAACCCCCCUUUAAGAAGGGUAGCGGUCUCUCUGUGGCUUUCAGCUCUUUAGGAGCUAGGCUUUAAAAUGCCCCGUGCCAUUGACCUCUCCCUGUAAGAAGGGUUCAGGUCUCCCCUUUUUAGCUUCUCCUGGGCCGCUGGCACUUGCUGGGCAAAGAGACGGCCCUCUCCUGAGGGAAUGGAGGUCUCUCCCUUUCUGCACUUCAGGGUUUGGCCCAGGCUAAAGGACCAUCCUGUAAGGAGGGUUUGGGUCUCCUUUGCCAUGCUGCAUUCGCCACAGGUCACUUGGACAUGCCAGGCAAAAUGACCGCCCUAUAAGCAGGGUGUAAGGUCUUCUCUCUCUCCCUCUGAAGUCAGUGGGGCCUUUCCGUGCCUGUGGCUGAGGGAUCCCGCUUUAAGAAGGGUUGAGCGUCUCUUUUCUCUUUCUCCUCGUAAACUGCUCUAGAAAUCAUUUCGACUUGGCUUUUUUGACAUUUGCAGUCAAAUCGUAUUUGUGACCUCUUGAAUUCAAGCCGGGGUCCCAUGGAACAUGGUGUGGCGAAGGGGCGGCUGUAAGGGGAUGGUGGAGGCCGUGAGAAAUUGGACGCUUUUUUGAAAAAAGCCAAGAAACCCCCCAAAACAAUCCAAAUCUUUCCAGGUCUGGAAAUGAACUGGUGAGGUGGGGGGCUCCUUUCAGCUCCUCACUUCCAUGCAAUCCUUCCUCAUUUCCUCUUGCCCUGCCCAACUGCCGCUGCCCCCCAACCUCAGCUUGGACCCUUUCUUUUAUUCUGCGCAGGAAACAUACUGCUGGCUGUGGUAGUGUAAUUGUCUUGAUUGGGAAUGGUCCGUUCGUGGUGUCCCAAUUCCAGGCCUUUGCUCUCUUUGCUGGUAGACUGAGGCUAUAUUUUUGGACUGUCUUUGAAGGGAUUGAAAGAGCUGUGCUUCAUGACAGCUGUUGGUGAUCUGGUGGUAUAGCUACAGGUGUCGUGGUCUUGCAUCUUGCACGUGGGUGCUCCUAACCCUACUAACAGGACUGCGUAAGAAGUAAGGGAUGUCUGUUUUGGAAAAGGGUAGGGGGUUCACAGUUGUAAUGUUCUUGGUGGGGUAGACAGGUAAGUCGGGAAGGGUGUUGGUGAGGGAUGGAGGAUUCCUUGGUCAUGGGAGGCUCCCUUACCUGUUCAUUUCCAGACAUUGUCACCUUUGUGACUCCUUUCCCCUUGUUUCAAGGAAGUAGGAUUUUUGUGAAGGAAGGGUGACCGCCCUGUGAUCGGGGUUCGGGUCGCUUUCCUUUCCCCCUCUUUGCAUUGGCCCUCUUAAUGCCAAAGUCCAAAGUGAGCUCCCUGUAACUAGGGUGUGCGUCUUUCCCAAGCUUACUCGCCCAUUUGAAAGCUAGUUAUAGAAACCAGCCUCUUUGGAGAGUUAGGGGUUUGUCCUUCUAGCUGUCCUGUCGCCAUGCCCUACUCACACGCACAACCAAGUCCAAACCGAGCGAACUCUGCAUCCAGCUGGCCCCGACGACUUCUGCUGCUGCUGCUGCAAGGUUUCCUGCUGUAUGCCACAGCAACUCAAAAGAGAAAACGGAGAAGAAGACAGAAGCCCCAAAGAACCGGCAGGAGAAGACAAUGGAAGCAGAAGCCACAGAAAAGAGACACACACCUUGCACGCGUGGGCCUCCCUGUAAUGAGGACACGGGGUUUCCACUUAAGCUUCAUUCCCCCUUGAGGUGCCAGGUAAAAGGACCUCCCUGUAAACAGGGAUCAAGGUCCACCCCUUCCCAGCAAAAAGGCUUGAGGUGUCCGUUAGGUAGCUAAGGCUGAGGAACCCCCCUUUAAGAAGGGUAGCGGUCUCUCUGUGGCUUUCAGCUCUUUAGGAGCUAGGCUUUAAAAUGCCCCGUGCCAUUGACCUCUCCCUGUAAGAAGGGUUCAGGUCUCCCCUUUUUAGCUUCUCCUGGGCCGCUGGCACUUGCUGGGCAAAGAGACGGCCCUCUCCUGAGGGAAUGGAGGUCUCUCGUUUUCAGCGCUUUAGCCUCUGCUCCGUUGUAAUGCCCCUGGCUUGAGGACCACCCUGUAAGGAGGGUUUGGGCCUCCUUUGCCAUGCUACUUUCGCCACAGGUCACUUGGACAUGCCAGGCAAAAUGACCGCCCUGUAAGCAGGGUGUAAGGUCUGCUCCCUCUCCCUCUUAAGCCAGUGGGCCCUUUCCGUACCUGUGGCUGAGGGACCCCCCUUUAAGAAGGGUAGCGGUCUCUCUGUGGCUUUCAGCUCUUUAGGAGCUAAGCUUUAAAAUGCCCCGUACCAUUGACCUCUCCCUGUCAGAAGGGUUCAGGUGUCCCCUUUUUAGCUUCUCCUGGGCCGCUGGCACUUGCUGGGCAAAGAGACCACCCUCUCCUGAGGGAAUGGAGGUCUCUCCCUUUCUGUACUUCGGGGUUUGGCCCAGGCCAAAGGACCACCCUGUAAGGAGGGUUUGGGUCUCCUUUGCCCUGCUGCUUUCGCUACAGGUCACUUGGACAUGCCAGGCAAAAUGACCGCCCUGUAAGCAGGGUGUAAGGUCUGCUCCCUCUCCCUCUUAAGCCAGUGGGGCCUUUCGGUGCCUGUGGCUGAGGGACCCCCCUUUAAGAAGGGUAGCGGUCUUUGUGUGGCAUUCAGCUCGUUAGCAGCUAGGCUUUAAAAUUCCCUGUGCCGUUGACCUCUCCCUGUCAGAAGGGUUCAGGUGUCCCCUUUUUAGCUUCUCUUGGGCCGCUGGCACUUGCUGGGCAAAGAGACCACCCUCUCCUGAGGGGAUGGAGGUCUCUCCCUUUCUGCACUUCAGGGUUUCGCCCAGGCUAAAGGACCAUCCUGUAAGGAGGGUUUGGGUCUCCUUUGCCAUGCUGCAUUCGCCACAGGUCACUUGGACAUGCCAGGCAAAAUGACCGCCCUGUAAGCAGGGUGUAAGGUCUGCUCCCUCUCCCUCUUAAGCCAGUGGGCCCUUUCCGUACCUGUGGCUGAGGGACCCCCCUUUAAGAAGGGUAGCGGUCUCUCUGUGGCUUUCAGCUCUUUAGGAGCUAAGCUUUAAAAUGCCCCGUACCAUUGACCUCUCCCUGUCAGAAGGGUUCAGGUGUCCCCUUUUUAGCUUCUCCUGGGCCGCUGGCACUUGCUGGGCAAAGAGACCACCCUCUCCUGAGGGAAUGGAGGUCUCUCCCUUUCUGUACUUCGGGGUUUGGCCCAGGCCAAAGGACCACCCUGUAAGGAGGGUUUGGGUCUCCUUUGCCCUGCUGCUUUCGCUACAGGUCACUUGGACAUGCCAGGCAAAAUGACCGCCCUGUAAGCAGGGUGUAAGGUCUGCUCCCUCUCCCUCUUAAGCCAGUGGGGCCUUUCGGUGCCUGUGGCUGAGGGACCCCCCUUUAAGAAGGGUAGCGGUCUUUGUGUGGCAUUCAGCUCGUUAGCAGCUAGGCUUUAAAAUUCCCUGUGCUGUUGACCUCUCCCUGUCAGAAGGGUUCAGGUGUCCCCUUUUUAGCUUCUCUUGGGCCGCUGGCACUUGCUGGGCAAAGAGACCACCCUCUCCUGAGGGGAUGGAGGUCUCUCCCUUUCUGCACUUCAGGGUUUGGCCCAGGCUAAAGGACCAUCCUGUAAGGAGGGUUUGGGUCUCCUUUGCCAUGCUGCAUUCGCCACAGGUCACUUGGACAUGCCAGGCAAAAUGACCGCCCUAUAAGCAGGGUGUAAGGUCUUCUCUCUCUCCCUCUGAAGUCAGUGGGGCCUUUCCGUGCCUGUGGCUGAGGGAUCCCGCUUUAAGAAGGGUUGAGCGUCUCUUUUCUCUUUCUCCUCGUAAACUGCUCUAGAAAUCAUUUCGACUUGGCUUUUUUGACAUUUGCAGUCAAAUCGUAUUUGUGACCUCUUGAAUUCAAGCCGGGGUCCCAUGGAACAUGGUGUGGCGAAGGGGCGGCUGUAAGGGGAUGGUGGAGGCCGUGAGAAAUUGGACGCUUUUUUGAAAAAAGCCAAGAAACCCCCCAAAACAAUCCAAAUCUUUCCAGGUCUGGAAAUGAACUGGUGAGGUGGGGGGCUCCUUUCAGCUCCUCACUUCCAUGCAAUCCUUCCUCAUUUCCUCUUGCCCUGCCCAACUGCCGCUGCCCCCCAAGCUCAGCUUGGACCCUUUCUUUUAUUCUGCGCAGGAAACAUACUGCUGGCUGUGGUAGUGUAAUUGUCUUGAUUGGGAAUGGUCCGUUCGUGGUGUCCCAAUUCCAGGCCUUUGCUCUCUUUGCUGGUAGACUGAGGCUAUAUUUUUGGACUGUCUUUGAAGGGAUUGAAAGAGCUGUGCUUCAUGACAGCUGUUGGUGAUCUGGUGGUAUAGCUACAGGUGUCGUGGUCUUGCAUCUUGCACGUGGGUGCUCCUAACCCUACUAACAGGACUGCGUAAGAAGUAAGGGAUGUCUGUUUUGGAAAAGGGUAGGGGGUUCACAGUUGUAAUGUUCUUGGUGGGGUAGACAGGUAAGUCGGGAAGGGUGUUGGUGAGGGAUGGAGGAUUCCUUGGUCAUGGGAGGCUCCCUUACCUGUUCAUUUCCAGACAUUGUCACCUUUGUGACUCCUUUCCCCUUGUUUCAAGGAAGUAGGAUUUUUGUGAAGGAAGGGUGACCGCCCUGUGAUCGGGGUUCGGGUCGCUUUCCUUUCCCCCUCUUUGCAUUGGCCCUCUUAAUGCCAAAGUCCAAAGUGAGCUCCCUGUAACUAGGGUGUGCGUCUUUCCCAAGCUUACUCGCCCAUUUGAAAGCUAGUUAUAGAAACCAGCCUCUUUGGAGAGUUAGGGGUUUGUCCUUCUAGCUGUCCUGUCGCCAUGCCCUACUCACACGCACAACCAAGUCCAAACCGAGCGAACUCUGCAUCCAGCUGGCCCCGACGACUUCUGCUGCUGCUGCUGCAAGGUUUCCUGCUGUAUGCCACAGCAACUCAAAAGAGAAAACGGAGAAGAAGACAGAAGCCCCAAAGAACCGGCAGGAGAAGACAAUGGAAGCAGAAGCCACAGAAAAGAGACACACACCUUGCACGCGUGGGCCUCCCUGUAAUGAGGACACGGGGUUUCCACUUAAGCUUCA